AACGCGAAGAACCUUACCAAGUCUUGACAUAUUACGGAAGCAGUUAGAGAUAAUUGCUUACAUCUCCGGAUGACUGUAAUACAGGUGGUGCAUGGUUGUCGUCAGCUCGUGUCGUGAGAUGUUGGGUUAAGUCCCAUAACGAGCGCAACCCCUAUUGCUAGUUACCAUCAUUAAGUUGGGGACUCUAGUAAUACUGCCGGUGACAAACCGGAGGAAGGUGGGGAUGACGUCAAAUCAUCAUGCCCUUUAUGACUUGGGCUACACACGUGCUACAAUGGCAGGUACACAGGGUUGCAAGACUGCGAAGUUAAGCGAAACUCAAAAAGCCUGUCCAGUUCGGAUUGCACUCUGCAACUCGAGUGCAUGAAGUGGAGUGCUAGUAAUCGUGA
rnacentral:rRNA from 1 species